rnacentral:ncRNA from 1 species
UCGAGCCGUAUACAGGGAAACCUGUACGUACGGUUCCUAGGGGAGGGAGAACUAUAAGACUUCGU